GACGUAGGGGGCAAGCGUUGUCCGGAAUGACUGGGCGUAAAGGGCGUGUAGGCGGCCGGGUACGUCGGCGCGGGCAGCCCGCGGCUCACCCGCGGGAGCGGGCCGAAACGGCCGGGCUCGAGGGCAGGAGAGGGACAUGGAAUGCCCGGUGGAGCGGUGAAAUGCGUAGAGAUCGGGCAGAACACCCGUGGCGAAGGCGGUGUCCUGGCCUGGCCCUGACGCUGAGGCGCGACAGCGUGGGGAGCGAACGGG
rnacentral:rRNA from 1 species